UACAGAGGUCUCGAGCGUUAGGCGGAAUCACUGGGCUUAAAGUGUGUGUAGGCGGAUCGUUAAGUGCCUUGUGAAAUCCCACGGCUUAACCGUGGAACUGCUUGGCAUACUGGCGGUCUUGAGCAACCUAGGGGCGAGCGGAACAAAUGGUGGAGCGGUGAAAUGCGUAGAUAUCAUUUGGAACGCCAAUGGUGAAAACAGCUCGCUGGGGGUUUGCUGACGCUGAGACACGAAAGCCAGGGGAGCAAACGGG
rnacentral:rRNA from 1 species